UUGGAGGGCAAGUCUGGUGCCAGCAGCCGCGGUAAUUCCAGCUCCAAUAGCGUAUAUUAAAGUUGUUGCAGUUAAAAAGCUCGUAGUUGAAUUUCGGGAUCAAUUAAUUGGUCGUGCCUCUGGUACGUACUGAUUUUAUUGGUUUCUCCCUUCUGAAGAACCAUGAUGUCAUUAAUUUGGUGUCGUGGAGAAUCAGGACUGUUACUUUGAAAAAAUUAGAGUGUUUAAAGCAAGCUAACGCUUGAAUACAUUAGCAUGGAAUAAUGAAAUAGGACGUUUGAUCCUAUUUUGUUGGUUUCUAGGAUCGACGUAAUGAUUAAUAGGGAUAGUUGGGGGCAUUAGUAUUCAAUUGUCAGAGGUGAAAUUCUUGGAUUUAUUGAAGACUAACUACCGCGAAAGCAUUUGCCAAGGAUGUUUUCAUUAAUCAAGAACGAAAGUUAGGGGAUCGAAGACGAUCAGAUACCGUCGUAGUCUUAACCAUAAACUAUGCCGACUAGGGAUCGGAUGAUGUUAAUUUUUUAAUGACUCAUUCGGCGCCUUACGGGAAACCAAAGUGUUUGGGUUC
rnacentral:rRNA from 1 species